GUGAGGAAUAUUGCACAAUGGGCGAAAGCCUGAUGCAGCAACGCCGCGUGAGUGAUGAAGGCCUUUGGGUCGUAAAACUCUGUCCUUGGGGAAGAAAAAAAUGACGGUACCCUUGGAGGAAGCCCCGGCUAACUACGUGCCAGCAGCCGCGGUAAUACGUAGGGGGCAAGCGUUAUCCGGAAUUAUUGGGCGUAAAGAGUGCGUAGGUGGUUUUGUAAGCGUAGGGUGAAAGGCAGUAGCUCAACUAUUGUUAGCCCUGCGAACUGUGAGACUUGAGUGCAGGAGAGGAAAGUGGAAUUCCUAGUGUAGCGGUGAAAUGCGUAGAUAUUAGGAGGAACACCAGUGGCGAAGGCGACUUUCUGGACUGUAACUGACACUGAGGCACGAAAGCGUGGGUAGCAAACAGGAUUAGAAACCCGGGUAGUCC
rnacentral:rRNA from 1 species